UAGAAUAUUGUGUUCAGUUCUGAGCACCAUGUUAUAGGAACGAAAUUGUCAAACUUGAACGGGUUUAGAAAAGAUUUAAGAGGAUGUUGCCAGGACUAGAGGGGGUGAGCUGUUGGGAGAGGUGGAGUGGGCUGGGACUCUAUUCCUUGGAGCGCAGGAGGAUGAGGGUUGAUUUUAU